CUCUCUCGCUCUCACUCGAGUCUCUUCAAUGUUCUACACUUCCGCCUCUCUUCCUCUCUUCACUUCAAUGUUCUACACUUCCGCCUCUCUCCUUCCUCUCUCACUCGAGGCUGGAGAUGAUUGUUUGGUGCGGUCGAUCCUCAUCUACUCUCAUGCUUUUCCUUCUAUGGUUUUAUUGGAUCUGCUACCGAUCUACAAAAUCCAUCAGAUAGCAGAUGCUGCUACUGGAACAAUCCAAGCCUGAGAUCGGUGGCUAAACUUCCUCUAGUUGGCCUCAUCAGGUCUGGGAAGUGGGCUUCUCUGGGACUUUGGGAACGGUGGAUCUGAGACUGUUUUGGGUAAAGGCUGUAACUUGAAAAGAAUCCUCAGGUUUGUGCUCCUGCAACAAAGCAUCCUAUUGAAGCGAUUCUGAGGCUGUUUCCUGGACCACAUUCAAAAACAAAGAGAGGUUUAUUCUCAAGCAAUGCAUCAUUUGACACUUUGCAGGAGGCGGUGACCAAUGUAGACAAGGUAGCUGAUGGGAGGCGCUUGCUUGUGCUCGUCGUCUUCAUCGGAGGUGUAACAUUCGUCGUCUUCAGAAAUGCCUUUCAAUUUCUCAAUUCUCAGGCUACAAGCUGCUCUUGGUAGUUGCCCUGGGAGAGAUCCACAAGUGCAAGUAGCGGAGUUUGUGUUUACUUGGUAGAAGAGUGAUUUGCUCCUUUUUUUGUGAUUCUUUCAGUUAUGUAUAUGGUUAAUGGGUUGCUCUUUUAGUUUUUUAUUUUAUAUUAAAUAAGGCUCCAAUGGCCCUUUUUUUUUUUUGAGAGGAAGGCUAAAAAAUGGCAUUUAUUCCUA